rnacentral:rRNA from 1 species
GAUGAACGCUGGCGGCGUGCCUAAUACAUGCAAGUCGAGCGAAUGGAUUAAGAGCUUGCUCUUAUGAAGUUAGCGGCGGACGGGUGAGUAACACGUGGGUAACCUGCCCAUAAGACUGGGCUAACUCCGGGAAACCGGGGCUAAUACCGGAUAACAUUUUGAACCGCAUGGUUCAAAAUUGAAAGGCGGCUUCGGCUGUCACUUAUGGAUGGACCCGCGUCGCAUUAGCUAGUUGGUGAGGUAACGGCUCACCAAGGCAACGAUGCGUAGCCGACCUGAGAGGGUGGUCGGCCACACUGGGACUGAGACACGGCCCAGACUCCUACGGGAGGCAGCAGUAGGGAAUCUUCCGCAAUGGACGAAAGUCUGACGGAGCAACGCCGCGUGAGUGAUGAAGGCUUUCGGGUCGUAAAACUCUGUUGUUAGGGAAGAACAAGUGCUAGUUGAAUAAGCUGGCACCUUGACGGUACCUAACCAGAAAGCCACGGCUAACUACGUGCCAGCAGCCGCGGUAA